CAUGUAUUGUUCAUAAUAUAUACGGGGUGGUGAAUUGUUUUGACCGACGACGCACUCGAUCGAACUUUCGAUGUAUCCGACUGUACGAUCGUUAGUCUUAUGAGACCUAUGCAAUUAGCUGCGACCGUAUUAUAAAUAUAAGGAAGACAAAAAAUAUUGUAUAUCCAACGAUGUAUUUAAAAAGUGUCUCCUGAGAACUAACUUCAAAUUUCGAUAAAUGUAUAAAACUGUGAAGUGAAGGUGUAACACAUCAAGAUUACAUGGUUAAUCCAUGAUAGUUUUCCAAAGAAAAAUAUUGUAAGAAUGACAUCACCCUUCAAAAAAAAUUUUAAAUAUGCCACUGUG